rnacentral:misc_RNA from 1 species
GUGAAUCAUCGAAUCUUUGAACGCAAAUUGCGCUCGAGGCCUCGGCCGAGAGCAUGCCUGCCUCAGUGUCGGUUCCACCCUCGCCUCACCUCCCAUCUGGUUGCGUGAGAGCGGAUCUGGCCGUCCCGAUCCUGGCGAUCGGGUCGGCUGAAGCGCAGAGGCUUGAGCGGGAGUCCCUCCAAUGUGGGAACAACAGACCGGUAGGUGAGCCGUCCUCUCUCCGGAGAGACGAUCGCAUGCCGCUGCUGGGCCCCGGGACCCCGCUGGACGCCGAGCAGGAGACGGUGCGGCUCGCGACUG